CAAGGCCGUGCGGGGUGCUACACAUGCAGUCGAACGGGAUCCAUCGGGCUUUGCUUGGUGGUGAGAGUGGCGAACGGGUGAGUAAUGCGUGACCGACCUGCCCCAUGCACCGGAAUAGCUCCUGGAAACGGGUGGUAAUGCCGGAUGCUCCAUCACACCGCAUGGUGUGUUGGGAAAGCCUUUGCGGCAUGGGAUGGGGUCGCGUCCUAUCAGCUUGAUGGCGGGGUAACGGCCCACCAUGGCUUCGACGGGUAGCCGGCCUGAGAGGGCGACCGGCCACAUUGGGACUGAGAUACGGCCCAGACUCCUACGGGAGGCAGCAGUGGGGAAUAUUGCACAAUGGGCGCAAGCCUGAUGCAGCGACGCCGCGUGAGGGAUGGAGGCCUUCGGGUUGUAAACCUCUUUUGUUAGGGAGCAAGGCACUUUGUGUUGAGUGUACCUUUCGAAUAAGCACCGGCUAACUACGUGCCAGCAGCCGCGGUAAUACGUAGGGUGCAAGCGUUAUCCGGAAUUAUUGGGCGUAAAGGGCUCGUAGGCGGUUCGUCGCGUCCGGUGUGAAAGUCCAUCGCUUAACGGUGGAUCCGCGCCGGGUACGGGCGGGCUUGAGUGCGGUAGGGGAGACUGGAAUUCCCGGUGUAACGGUGGAAUGUGUAGAUAUCGGGAAGAACACCAAUGGCGAAGGCAGGUCUCUGGGCCGUUACUGACGCUGAGGAGCGAAAGCGUGGGGAGCGAACAGGAUUAGAUACCCUGGUAGUCCACGCCGUAAACGGUGGAUGCUGGAUGUGGGGCCCGUUCCACGGGUUCCGUGUCGGAGCUAACGCGUUAAGCAUCCCGCCUGGGGAGUACGGCCGCAAGGCUAAAACUCAAGAAAUUGACGGGGGCCCGCACAAGCGGCGGAGCAUGCGGAUUAAUUCGAUGCAACGCGAAGAACCUUACCUGGGCUUGACAUGUUCCCGACGAUCCCAGAGAUGGCGUACCCUUCGGGCCGGUUUCACAGGUGAUGCAUGGUCGUCGUCAGCUCGUGCCGUGAGAUGUUGGGGUUAGUCCCCGCAUGAGCCGCACCCUCGCCCCGUGUUGCCCGCCGGAAUG
rnacentral:rRNA from 1 species